rnacentral:rRNA from 1 species
AGAGUUUGAUCCUGGCUCAGGAUGAACGCUAGCGGCAGGCUUAACACAUGCAAGUCGAGGGGCAUCGCGGGGUAGCAAUACUCUGGCGGCGACCGGCGAAAGGGUGAGUAACGCGUGAGCAACAUGCCCGGUACUGGGGGAUAGUCGAUGGAAACGUCGCGUAAUACCCCGUAACAUACGGAACCGCAUGAUUCUGUAUUGAGAGAUUUAUUGAUUCCGGAUUGGCUCGCGUACCAUUAGGUAGUUGGUAGGGUAACGGCCUACCAAGCCGACGAUGGUUAGGGGUUCUGAGAGGAAGGUCCCCCACAUUGGAACUGAGACACGGUCCAGACUCCUACGGGAGGCAGCAGUGAGGAAUAUUGGUCAAUGGCCGAGAGGCUGAACCAGCCAUGCCGCGUGCGGGAGGACGGCCCUAUGGGUUGUAAACCGCUUUUGUCAGGGGGCAAUAAGGGCCACGCGUGGCCUGAUGAGAGUACCUGGCGAAUAAGCAUCGGCUAACUCCGUGCCAGCAGCCGCGGUAAUACGGAGGAUGCAAGCGUUAUCCGGAUUUAUUGGGUUUAAAGGGUGCGUAGGCGGAAGCUUAAGCGUGAGGUGAAAUGCCACAGCUCAACUGUGGAACUGCCUCGCGAACUGGGUUUCUGGAAUGCCCCUGCCGUGGGAGGAAUGUGUGGUGUAGCGGUGAAAUGCAUAGAGAUCACACAGAACACCGAUUGCGAAGGCAUCUCACGAAGGGGUGAUUGACGCUGAGGCACGAAAGCGUGGGGAUCAAACAGGAUUAGAUACCCUGGUAGUCCACGCAGUAAACGAUGAUGACUAACCGCUGGGUUUACGGAUUCAGUGGCCAAGCGAAAGCGAUAAGUCAUCCACCUGGGGAGUACGACCGCAAGGUUGAAACUCAAAGGAAUUGACGGGGGCCCGCACAAGCGGAGGAACACGUGGUUUAAUUCGAUGAUACGCGAGGAACCUUACCCGGGCUCGAACGGC